rnacentral:tRNA from 4 species
GGAGAGGUGUCCGAGUGGUUGAUGGUGCCGCUCUCGAAAAGCGGUGUGCGAAAGCACCGCGGGUUCGAAUCCCGCCCUCUCCGCCA